UUGGGCCCCACAGUGUCACAAUGGCACCGCGGUCCCCAAGGCCCUGCAGGUCACAGUGGAUCCUUGGUUCCAUGAGGUCUGGCAGUGCAGCAAUGCUCUCCUGCGUUCUUACUGUCUUUUAUACCUCCUAUUCUCAGACAAUAGGACACCUAGGAGAUGAAGGGGAGUGGAAGUAGAUAUCCACUCGAGGAGGGAAUAAUAAAAUCCCUCCUCACCCCCACUCCCCAGCCAGGUGACACUUCAGAACAGGUAUGAGCCCCUGGAUCUGGAGAGUCAGCCACAUGAUUUAGAAGAAAAUUAUUUGUCCAUUGACCUUCCCAGUUAUGAUUCAUCUCUAAGAAGGAUUACCACCUCUAACAUCAAAAAGGAAAGAAGGAUAAUCGUGGCUGGCAGUGAUGAGACUGAAAAGGAGAAUGUCAGGACAAUUAAAAGAUGAUGCCGGCAGUUAUAUACAGACACAAACGCAACGGGACCACACCUGAA